rnacentral:rRNA from 1 species
UACGUAGGGGGCAAGCGUUGUCCGGAUUUAUUGGGCGUAAAGAGCGUGUAGGCGGCCAUGUAGGUCCGUUGUGAAAACUCGAGGCUCAACCUCGAGACGCCGAUGGAAACCAUGUGGCUAGAGUCCGGAAGAGGCGAGUGGAACUCCUGGUGUAGCGGUGGAAUGCGCAGAUAUCAGGAAGAACACCAACGGCGAAGGCAGCUCGCUGGGACGGUACUGACGCUGAGACGCGAAAGCGUGGGGAGCGAACAGG